rnacentral:rRNA from 1 species
GAAUGCUGACAUAAGUAACGAUAAAGCGGGUGAAAAGCCCGCUCGCCGGAAGACCAAGGGUUCCUGUCCAACGUUAAUCGGGGCAGGGUGAGUCGACCCCUAAGGCGAGGCCGAAAGGCGUAGUCGAUGGGAAACAGGUUAAUAUUCCUGUACUUGGUGUUACUGCGAAGGGGGGACGGAGAAGGCUAUGUUGGCCGGGCGACGGUUGUCCCGGUUUAAGCGUGUAGGCUGGU